CUGGCUCAGGAUGAACGCUAGCUACAGGCUUAACACAUGCAAGUCGAGGGGUAGCAGGGUAGCAAUACCGCUGACGACCGGCGCACGGGUGAGUAACACGUAUCCAACCUUCCAUAACUCAGGGAUAGCCUUUCGAAAGAAAGAUUAAUACCUGAUAGUACUUUUUCAAGGCAUCUUGAAAAAGUUAAAGAUUUAUUGGUUAUGGAUGGGAUGCGUUCCAUUAGAUAGUUGGUGAGGUAACGGCUCACCAAGUCUUCGAUGGAUAGGGGUUCUGAGAGGAAGGUCCCCCACAUUGGUACUGAGACACGGACCAAACUCCUACGGGAGGCAGCAGUGAGGAAUAUUGGUCAAUGGGCGAGAGCCUGAACCAGCCAAGUAGCGUGAAAAGGAUGAAGGUCCUAUGGAUUGUAAACUUCUUUUAUAGUAGAAUAAAGUGAGCCACGUGUGGUUUUUUGUAUGUAUACUAUGAAUAAGGAUCGGCUAACUCCGUGCCAGCCGCCGC
rnacentral:rRNA from 1 species